rnacentral:tRNA from 1 species
AAGGAUUUAAGUUAACUAAACUUACAACCUUCAAAGUUGUCAAUGAAUUUUUUCAAGCCUUA